UGCCAUUGCCGCCAUGUGGGAUCUGGCUUCAAAAAGACGUCGGAAGAACCAGUGUGUAGAGUUGCGGGAGAAACAUCCAAAGGGAGCCAGAAGCUGCCCUCCAAGAUGAGCAGUUGUGAUUGAAAUGUCAACCCGUGACUGGAAAGAUAUUUCUCACCUACCCAGUCUUCAAAGAUA